GACGAACGCUGGCGGCGUGCUUAACACAUGCAAGUCGAACGGAAAGGCCCGGCUUUGGUGUUGUGCUCGAGUGGCGAACGGGUGAGUAACACGUGAGUAACCUGCCCUGUACUUUGGGAUAACUUCAGGAAACUGGGGCUAAUACCGGAUAGGAGCUCCUGCUGCAUGGUGUGGGUUGGAAAGGUUCGGCGGUUGGGGAUGGACUCGCGGCUUAUCAGCUUGUUGGUGGGGUAGUGGCUUACCAAGGCGUUGACGGGGAGCCGGACUGAGAGGGUGACAGGCCACAUUGGGACUGAGAUACGGGCAAGACUCCUACGGGAGGCAGCAGUGGGGAAUAGUGCACAAUGGGCGGAAGCCGGAUGCAGCAACGUCGCGUGGGGGAUGACGGCUGUCGGGUUGUAACCCGUUUUCGCCUGUGACGAAGCGUGAGUGACGGUAACGGGUCAAGAAGCACCGGCUAACUACGUG
rnacentral:rRNA from 1 species